UUUAUUAGAAGAGACGCAUUUAUUAGAUAAAAAGCCAGUKCAUGCUUUUACAGUAUGRAAAUUGGUGAUUUAUAAUAACUURGCAAAUCGCAAAGUGAAAACAGGCGAUAAAUCAUUCAAGUUUCUGACCUAUCAGCUUUCGACGGUAUGGUAUUGGCUUACCGUGGCAGUGACGGUUAACGGGGGAUUAGGGUUCGAUUCCGGAGAGGGAGCCUGAGAAACGGCUACCACAUCUAAGGAAGGCAGCAGGCGCGCAAAUUACCCAAUUCUAACAGUUUGAGAGAGGUAGUAACAAGAAAUAACAAUACAAGGCARUUAAAAUGCUUUGUAAUUGGAAUGAUAGAAAUUUAAACCCUUUUUAAAGUAUCAAUUGGAGGGCAAGUCUGGUGCCAGCAGCCGCGGUAAUUCCAGCUCCAAUAGCGUAUAUUAAAAUUGUUGCAGUUAAAAAGCUCGUAGUUGAAGUUCUGCURAAAGUAACCGGUCUGCUUUUAAUAAAAGUGGUAUCUUGGURUGUAUUUAGCAAUGAUGUCCUUUGAAGUGUUUUUUACUUUAUUGUAAUAAAGCAUAUUCAGGACUUUUACUUUGAGAAAAUUAGAGUGUUUCUAGCAGGCCGACGCUUUGAAUA
rnacentral:rRNA from 1 species